UGCUGCCUGUUUCUCCUGGACUCCCUGCUUGCUCCCUAAGGACGGCCAUUUUACUGCUGCCUUCUCCUGUGCUCCUGCUCCUGUAUCAGCCUCGGACCAUCAGAACAGUGCAACGGGACGCUGCUCGAUCUUUGGUGAAGACAGGUGCACUGAAAGCAAAGCUUGUGGUGGCAGACCAAGACUUGAUACCAACUACAAACUGGAAGACAUUUAUCCAAGAAAAUAAGUCCUAUUUUAAGCAUAAGUCUUGCUAAUCGGCAAUAUCUAGCUAAUGAGUUGCAUCUAUGAUAUAUAGGUCUACCAUAUUCAAAUGAUUUGUUGAGCGGUCUUUCACUUUGUGCUGAGAACUUCAGUUAGAAAUAGGCUCAGCAUGGGCAAUCCUCAAGUAGAUGUACACUUACGGCUCUAUCAAUAAAAAUGAAUGGGCUCUGG